rnacentral:rRNA from 1 species
CCUCCAGCUAUGUUGGGGGCGCGGCGCACAGCUCAAUAACACGUGGCUAACCUGCCCUUGGGAUAGGGACAACCCCGGGAAACUGGGGCUAAUCCCCAAUAGGCGAAGGCUCCUGGAAUGGAUCUUCACCCGAAAGGAAUCUAGAUCGUGCUUCUAGGUGUCGCCCAAGGAUGGGGCCGCGGCCGAUCAGGUUGUUGGUGAGGUAAUGGCCCACCAAGCCUUUUACCGGUGCGGGCCGUGAGAGCGGGAGCCCGGAGAUGGGCACUGAGACAAGGGCCCAGGUCCUACGGGGCGCAGCAGUCGCGAAACCUUUGCAAUACACGCAAGUGUGACAGGGCCAUCCCGAGUGCCGACCGCUGAGGUUGGCUUUUAAUCAGUCUAGAAAGCUGGGAGAAUAAGGAGAGGGCAAGUCUGGUGUCAGCCGCCGCGGUAAUACCAGCUCUCCGAGUGGUGUGGACGUUUAUUGGGCCUAAAGCAUCCGUAGCUGGCUGAACAAGUCCCCUGUUAAACCCAACGAUUUAAUCGUUGGCUUGCGGGGGAAACUGCUCGGCUAGGAGACGGGAGAGGCAGACGGUAUUCUCGGGGUAGGGGUGAAAUCCUAUAAUCCCGAGAAGACCACCAGUGGCGAAGGCUGUCUGCUACAACGCGCUCGAUGGUGAGGGAUGAAAGCUGGGGGAGCGAACCGGAUUAGAUACCCGGGUAGUCCCAGCUGUAAACGAUGCAGGCUAGGUGUUUGGACGGCCACGUGCCGUUCUAGUGCCGCAGGGAAGCUGUUAAUCCUGCCGCCUGGCGAGUACGAUCGCACGAUUGAAACUUAG